AGCUGCAUGCAGACCAACACACACACUCACAAGCACAUGCGCGCAUGCACACACACACGCACACACACACACACACACACACACACACACACACAAAAUUACCCCCGCUAACACAUAGUUACCUCCCCUGACACAUAAUAUUGGGAAAUAAAUGAAAUGCCUCUGAAAUACCAAAUGGCUGGAAUGGUAGUAAUAUAUCAGAGUCACAGGGAGAAUUUUGAGACUCAGUUGACUACCAUCUUCUCCUUAUCCUCCAGCUCCACCAAUUGUUCUCUCCAUCACUUUCUGGAGUCUAGGUCUGUGAUGAAACUCAAAGAUUUGAGUUCGUAGCAGGUUUCAAGUAAUGUUGAUUGAGCUGGUCAAGGACAUUACUUUGAAAAAAAUUCAUACACGGUUACUUGUUUAAAAUAAUCAUUAGCUUAUUCAGUGUGGACUAAUAAUGCGUGUGGGUUUAAUGCCUUUAAGGGGCUCUUCCAUUCCUCAAAAGAUUUGUUUUUAGACAAAGGUUUGUAGAAAAGUAGUAUCUUCUGAAACACAAAGUACAACUUCCUUAAUUACAAAAUGUCAGUUAAGGAUUUAUUUCACUAAUAGAGCAACACUGCUUGCCCAAAGUGUCUUAAUCCUUCCACUUAGAACAGUUUUGUAUGAGAUGAAAACAAUAUUUAGCCUUAGUGUGUAUUGAGUUUAAGUUUAGAUAUUUAUGCAUCAGUUAUGUAUCACUACAUCUUGUGUUUCUUGAAUGUGUAUCUGAAACCAUAUGUGGCAUAAAAUUAGUUUUCUGACAAAUAACGUUCACAUUUGUUAACUUACUUACUUUCCUGUUUAUGCAACAGUGAACUACUUUUUAAACACUCAGAUUUUCAAACUUUAAACACACACACAUACACACACCCCCAUAAGUAUGUUUUACUUGACUCACAAUAUGGAAAUAUUUCACCAAGAUCUGUUUAAAAAUUCAGAAGAAUUCUGCAACAGAUUACAAUUUUAACAUUUUCUGAAACAUUUUCGGUUUUCUGAAAUUAUUUUUAACUAUUCAAACUUGUUGAAGAGAGUUCCUCAAGACACAUAAAGACAUAUCAAGACAUGAAAACAGAGUUUAUCUGUCUUUGUAAAUUUAGAUAUUUGUAAGGAAUGCGAACAAAGACGGGAUUUACAAGUGGAUCUUCUUAGAAAGAAAAAUGUAGACUUCUUUACUGUAGUGAUCACCUCAAGGUGCUCUGUAAGCCUGUCAGUAAGAUUGACUGCUCUUCAGGUACUUAGGAUGUAAUGAAAUUGAAUGUUCAUGCUGAGCUUGGUAAAUAAAAUGAGAUUGACCUCCUAGCCAUUAUCUCCUUUAUCUGAUUUACAUUGUAAAAUCAGGAUCUACACUAUUGAUUGGAGUAUAAUUAGUUAAUUAUGAACAGGAAAAUGCAAAGUUAGGUGGAGCUUGAACACAGCAGGUUGUAGUGCUAAAAUCUUUCCCAGGGCAUGAGCAGAGGGAGAUCAGUUUAUUAGAGAACAAAGCAGACGAGUUUCAGGCACGGAAAUGUCUAAUCCAUUUCUCAUGCUGGGAAGAGAUACUUGACCUUACUGUGUAUUGUCAUGAACUGCCUUGUUUCAUGUUCCGGGUUUCCUUGUUUUUAUUUUGUUUUGUUUUCUUAUUUCACUUUUAAAGUUGCAAGCUGGCUGUUGGCAGAUAUAAAUAAUGAAUUGAUUCCACAUUUUACGUGGGAUUGGAUUUGGCUUUUCCCAAAUAGUGAUAUUUAGUUAUCAAUAUCCAUUUGUAAUGAGGAAUUUUAGACUAUCCUACCACCCACUCAUUUCACUGUUUCCUGUGAGAGAAAUCCCCAGUAGCAUUCACAAGAUAGGUUCAUCAUUUUUAUGAUGUUUGUGAAAUAAGACUUAGAACAAGUUUUGAAUUAACAUGUAUAGAAAACAUUCGUGUAGGUGGUGGCUUGCACUAAAAUUAUUACCUGCUACAAGGAUUAAGAUAGUUUACUUAUAGAUAUUAUACCAUUGAUAGAAUGUAGGGUUUUGUGACAGCUCAUAUUAUUUAAAAAAUUUUAAUGGGCCUCAGUAUAUAUUUAUUCUACAUAUUAAGACAUUUAAUUGAAAUGAUUGAUCAGUGUUCACUGCAGUAACUUAUCACAGUUAGUUGCUGAAAUUGUAUUUGAAUUGCUAGUAAGGUUUUAUUUAAGCAGUGUUAAUAGUCAAGACUAAUUGAAGGGAAAGCCAGAAGAGCCAGCAGUCGGUUCUCCAGAUGCUCAUGUUUCUAGGUGAGAAGCGCAGUGUUCUGUAGUUCCAGAGACAGUUUCCUUAUUCAUCAUUGUAUAGGGAAUACUGCCUGUUGUGCUUCAUUACGGUAACAGAAUAUCUACAGUACAUCCCUUUUAAAGUCUCGCCCCAGAGGCUGCUUCUUUCCAAAGGCCAGUUUGCUUAGGAGGUACCUGCACUUAAUAAACCAGUGUUUUGGGGUUUGUUUGUUUGUUUGUUUGUUUGUUUUAAGGAAUGACUUAGUAUAUGCCAGAAAUAAACUUAUUAUUAUUUGAAACUAAGAAAGCUAAAUAAACCCUUUAGAGCAAUGGUUCUCAACGUUCUUAAUGCUGUAAAAACUCUCUUAUACAUUUCUUUUCAUUGUGGUAAGCACCAACCAUAAAAUUAUUUGUCACUUUCAUAACUAAUUUUUCUAGGGUUAUGAAUUGUAAUGUGAAUAUCUGUGAAUAUCUGUGUUUUCUGAUGGUCAUAGGCAAGUCCUGUGGGGGGGGGGGGGGGCUGUAGGGGUCGCGACCCACAGGUUGAGAACCACUGUUCUAGCACCUUGACUACUUUGUGUAGGCAUAAGAGAAAAUUUUAAGUUAGAUAUGUUUGCUUAUUUCCACAUUGUCAGUAGUCACUCGACACUGAGUUUAAUGCUUGUUAUGUGGAUCAUAGCACACAGGAAGAUCAAUCAUUUUCUCUUCUUCUCUAGGGUGCUGUACUUAAUCAUAACGCUAAGUAAGUAUUUUAAUAAAAAUCGAGCUGUGCUUAUUUAGUCUCUACAUCUUCCUGAAUCAACGUAGAGUGCUCCUCUGUCCUUUGUAUUUGUAUCAAUAUUAAUGUAGUAUGUAGGAAGUUGAACUUGAUAGGUACUUGGUUGGUCAGACUUUGUUCACAUUAAAAAUUGGCUUUGUUUGAUCUCACUAUACUACAAAUUUUAGAAUUCUCUGUAGUCUAAUGUGCACAAUAUUUAUUAAAUAUUUUAAAUAUACUUCUUCAGUCAUCAAGUUUAGUUUUUAUUUAUAGACAUGUUCUUCAUAUGCUAAAUUUAUAUUUUCUUCAUGGUUAAGGUAUUGCCUUUUUACUAUGAUGUGCUAUUGGUAUAAUAAUGUUUUUCUUACAUCAACAUUUGUUUCGUUUAAUAAAGUGUUGUGUUAAUAUCACAG
rnacentral:lncRNA from 1 species